GGGAACUGAAACAUCUAAGUACCCCGAGGAAAAGAAAUCAACCGAGAUUCCCCCAGUAGCGGCGAGCGAACGGGGAGGAGCCCAGAGCCUGAAUCAGCAUGUGUGUUAGUGGAAGCGUCUGGAAAGGCGCGCGAUACAGGGUGACAGCCCCGUACACAAAAGCGCAUGUGCUGUGAGCUCGAUGAGUAGGGCGGGACACGUGGUAUCCUGUCUGAAUAUGGGGGGACCAUCCUCCAAGGCUAAAUACUCCUGACUGACCGAUAGUGAACCAGUACCGUGAGGGAAAGGCGAAAAGAACCCCGGCGAGGGGAGUGAAAAAGAACCUGAAACCGUGUACGUACAAGCAGUGGGAGCACAGGUUUACCUGUGUGACUGCGUACCUUUUGUAUAAUGGGUCAGCGACUUAUAUUCUGUAGCAAGGUUAACCGAAUAGGGGAGCCGGAGGGAAACCGAGUCUUAAUUGGGCGUUAAGUUGCAGGGUAUAGACCCGAAACCCGGUGAUCUAGCCAUGGGCAGGUUGAAGGUUGGGUAACACUAACUGGAGGACCGAACCGACUAAUGUUGAAAAAUUAGCGGAUGACCUGUGGCU
rnacentral:rRNA from 6 species